rnacentral:rRNA from 1 species
AAUAGAUACCCGGGUAGUCCACGCCGUAAACGAUGAGUGCUAAGUGUUAGAGGGUUUCCGCCCUUUAGUGCUGCAGCUAACGCAUUAAGCACUCCGCCUGGGGAGUACGGCCGCAAGGCUAGAAACUCAAAGGAAUUGGACGGGGGCCCGCACAAGCGGUGGAGCAUGUGGUUUAAUUCGAAGCAACGCGAAGAACCUUACCAGGUCUUGACAUCCUCUGCCAACCCUAGAGAUAGGGCGUUCCCCUUCGGGGGACAGAGUGACAGGUGGUGCAUGGUUGUCGUCAGCUCGUGUCGUGAGAUGUUGGGUUAAGUCCCGCAACGAGCGCAACCCUUGAUCUUAGUUGCCAGCAUUCAGUUGGGCACUCUAAGGUGACUGCCGGUGACAAACCGGAGGAAGGUGGGGAUGGACGUCAAAUCAUCAUGCCCCUUAUGACCUGGGCUACACACGUGCUACAAUGGAUGGUACAAAGAGCUGCGAACCCGUGAGGGUAAGCGAAUCUCAUAAAGCCAUUCUCAGUUCGGAUUGUAGG